rnacentral:tRNA from 1 species
CUCCUCGUAGUGUAACGGAUAGCACGUAAGAUUCCGGUUCUUAAGAUAGAGGUUCGACUCCUCUCGAGGGGGC